rnacentral:tRNA from 1 species
GCAUCCUUAGCUCAACUGGAUAGAGCAACAGACUUCUAAUCUGUAGGUUAUAGGUUCGAGUCCUAUAGGGUGCGCCA